UACGUAGGGGGCUAGCGUUGUCCGGAAUCAUUGGGCGUAAAGAGCGUGUAGGCGGCCCGGUAAGUCCGCUGUAAAAGUCAAAGGCUCAACCUUUGAAUGUCAGUGGAUACUGCCGGGCUAGAGUCCGGAAGAGGCGAGUGGAAUUCCUGGUGUAGCGGUGGAAUGCGCAGAUAUCAGGAGGAACACCAAUAGCGAAGGCAGCUCGCUGGGACGGUACUGACGCUGAGGUGCGAAAGCGUGGGGAGCAAACAGG
rnacentral:rRNA from 1 species